rnacentral:rRNA from 1 species
GACGAACGCUGGCGGCGUGCUUAACACAUGCAAGUCGAACGGAAAGGCCCUGCUUUUGUGGGGUGCUCGAGUGGCGAACGGGUGAGUAACACGUGAGUAACCUGCCCUUGACUUUGGGAUAACUUCAGGAAACUGGGGCUAAUACCGGAUAGGAGCUCCUGCUGCAUGGUGGGGGUUGGAAAGUUUCGGCGGUUGGGGAUGGACUCGCGGCUUAUCAGCUUGUUGGUGGGGUAGUGGCUUACCAAGGCUUUGACGGGUAGCCGGCCUGAGAGGGUGACCGGCCACAUUGGGACUGAGAUACGGACCAGACUCCUACGGGAGGCAGCAGUGGGGAAUAUUGCACAAUGGGCGGAAGCCUGAUGCAGCAACGCCGCGUGCGGGAUGACGGCCUUCGGGUUGUAAACCGCUGUCGCAUGUGACGAAGCGUGAGUGACGGUAAUGGGUAAAGAAGCAACGGCUAACUACGUG